UCGUACGCUCUCGGGAAGAGGGCGUGGCGGACGGCUGAGUAACACGUGGCUAACCUGCCCUUGGGAUCUGGAUAACCCCGGGAAACUGGGGCUAAUCCGGAGCAGGCAAGGGAAUCUGGAAUGAUCUCUUGCCUAAAGGCUUCUCGGCUGAUCCCGUCGAGAGGCGCCCAAGGAUGGGGCUGCGGCCCAUCAGGCUGUUGGGGGAGUAAAGGUCCCCCAAACCGAUAACGGGUAGGGGCCGUGGGAGCGGGAGCCCCCAGUUGGGCACUGAGACAAGGGCCCAGGCCCUACGGGGCGCACCAGGCGCGGAACGUCCCCAAUGCGGGAAACCGUGAGGGCGUUACCCCUAGUGCCCUCGCAAGAGGGCUUUUCUCCACUCCAGAAAGGUGGAGGAAUAAGCGGGGGGCAAGACUGGUGUCAGCCGCCGCGGUAAUACCAGCCCCGCGAGUGAUCGGGACGUUUAUUGGGCUUAAAGCGCCCGUAGCCGGCCUGUAAAGUCACCGUUUAAAGACCCGGGCUCAACUCGGGGAACGGCGGUGAUACUUACAGGCUAGGGGGCGGGAGAGGUCGGAGGUACUCCCGGAGUAGGGGCGAAAUCCUCAGAUCCCGGGAGGACCACCAGUGGCGAAAGCGUCCGGCUAGAACGCGCCCGACGGUGAGGGGCGAAAGCCGGGGUAGCAAAUAGGAUUAGAUACCCUAGUAGUCCCGGCUGUAAACGAUGCAGGCUAGGUGUCGCGUAGGCUUUGUGCCUGCGCGGUGCCGCAGGAAAACUGGUAAGCCCGCCGCCUGGGGAGUACGGCCGCAAGGCUGA
rnacentral:rRNA from 1 species